rnacentral:misc_RNA from 1 species
GAAAUGCGAUAAGUAGUGUGAAUAGCAGAAUUCAGUGAAUCAUCGAAUCUUUGAACGCACAUUGCGCCCCUUGGUAUUCCAUGGGGCAUGCCUGUUCGAGCGUCAUUUGUACCCUCAAGCUCUGCUUGGUGUUGGGUGUUUGUCCCCGUCUCCGCGCGUGGACUCGCCCCAAAGUGAUUGGCAGCCGGCGUACUGGUCCCGGAGCGCAGCACAUGUCGCGCAAACGAGUGCCUUGGUACGGCGGCGUCCAUAAGCCCCUCUCUCACGCUCUUGACCUCGGAUCAGGUAGGGAUACCCGCUGAACUUAAGC